rnacentral:lncRNA from 1 species
CCCUGGUAAAGCAUGGAAGGAAUAUUUUGAAUCUUUUCUCCAACUUAGCAAACUUGUUAAUUUGUUUUGUUCGAUACAGUCAAAUAUUAGUACAAACAAAUAAUAGUUCGACAAUAGUGGGAUACACCAUAUAAAUUUGUAUUAGAAAUCUUAGAUGUAGCCCUAUCUUUUGCAUAUCGAACCGCAACCAACCUUACAAAAUGGUCUC